rnacentral:lncRNA from 1 species
GAUGAAAGACUUCAUUUUCCAAGUCUUAAGCCAUGGGAUGCCAUGCUGAAAAUUAAUUGGAGGCAUGUAAUUAUUAAGGGAUGCCAAGAGUUGGCAUCCCAUGGUGUCGCCCAUAUUUUUCUAUAAAUAGGGGGGCGCUACACCUGGUUUCUAUGUCCCAUUUUCACUGGGUUUUAGGCAUGAGAAUGAGAGGAUAAAAACAAGAAAAAGUCUAAAAAAAAUGUAAGAUAAAAGGGAGAGAAAAUGGAAAGGAAGGGAGAAUGAAAUUGGAAAGCAUGUGAUGCUUGUCCAAAAAUUAGGUUGUUCAAGUUUUGAACAUCUGAUUUAUUUUUGUGUGGUAUAAUAUUUUGGGAAAGGGUUCCUAGAGUGGUACUA